GUAGCUCAGCUGGUAGAGCACCACCUUGCCAAGGUGGAUGUCGCGAGUUCGAAUCUCGUC
rnacentral:tRNA from 1 species